CACAAACGGCCCUUUGGUUUAUCCCCCUGGGGAUUGACGGCACCUGCAUAAGAAGCACCGGAUAUCUCCGUGCCAGCAGCCGCGGUAAUACGGAGGGUGCGAGCGUUAAUCGGAAUUACUGGGCGUAAAGGGCGCGUAGGCGGCCGAUCAAGUCAGAUGUGAAAGCCCACGGCUUAACCGUGUGAAGUGCAUCUGAAACUGGUCGGCUUGAGUAUCGGAGAGGAAAGUGGAAUUCCCGGUGUAGAGGUGAAAUUCGUAGAUAUCGGGAGGAAUACCGGUGGCGAAGGCGACUUUCUGGACGAAUACUGACGCUGAGGCGCGAAAGCGUGGGGAGCAAACAGGAUUAGAUACCCUGGUAGUCCACAGCUGUAAACGAUGUGCACUAGAUGUGGGGAAGUGUUGACCUUUCCUGUGUCGCAGCUAACGCAUUAAGUGCACCGCCUGGGGAGUACGGCCGCAAGGUUAAAACUCAAA
rnacentral:rRNA from 1 species